rnacentral:misc_RNA from 1 species
GGCUAAUAUUGUCAAUUUUCUUAGUGUUUCGGUUAAGGACUGAACCAGCAGGAGCAACUUCGUUUCCUCUUUCAGUACAGAGCACCAACAAGAAACAAGCAAGAAUCUGUAAAUUUUCCUCGUUCAUCCAUUACUCUACCUACAGCCUAGAGCUUAAGGAUUUUCCAAUUAUUAUAACUUUCUCUUGGAGCUGUUUUUAAGGUUUUGAAGAAAUGAUACUUUCGGCUCUGUUAACAUCGGUUGGCAUCAAUCUUGGACUCUGUUUCUUGUUCUUCACUCUCUAUUCUAUACUCAGGAAGCAACCCGGAAAUGUUUUUGUCUAUGUUCCCCGUUUGGUCGAUAAGCAGAAAUCGGAGGAGCAAAGCGAUGGGUUAAAUUUGGGAAGGCUUUUGCCUUCUGAUGGUUGGGUGAGAAGCGCAUGGCAGCUUUCUGAGGAAGACCUCUUGUCAAUUUCUGGUUUGGAUGCUCUAGUUUUCAUACGCGUUUUCAUUUUCAGCCUCAAAGUGUUUACAUUUGGUGGGAUUAUUGGGAUCUUCGUUCUUAUUCCUGUUAAUUAUCUUGGGAAUCAGCUCAGUAUUGAUGAUUUUUAUGAUCUACCAAACAAGACGUUGGACUCUUUCAGUAUUUCGAAUGUUAACGACGGUUCAAACUGGUUAUGGAUUCACUUUUCUGCUGCAUAUAUUUUUACGGGAGUUGUCUGCUAUCUUCUUUAUUGUGAGUAUAGCUAUAUUUCAUCAAAAAGAAUUGCUUGCUUCUAUUCAUCCAAGCCUCAGCCUCACCAAUUUACCAUAUUAGUCCGUGAUAUCCCUUCCUCAUCUGGGAGAAGCUUUAGUGAAAAAGUUGAGAGCUUUUUCACAGAUUAUCAUCCUUCUACUUACCUUUCACAUUCAGUGAUUCAUCAAACAAGCAAAAUUCGAGGUCUCAUUAAUGAUGCAGAUAAGUUGUAUAGAAAGCUUGCACGCAUUAAAUCAGAAAAUCAUUCCAAGCAAAAAUUUAAACGUGAUGGCUUUUUGGGACUCUUUGGACCGAAAGUUAAUAUUUUAGACCACUACGAAAAGAAGUUGGAAGAUUUGGAAGAAAACGUGAGAAUGGAGCAAUACUCAUUGGCAUCACAGGAAGUCCCAGCUGCUUUUGUGUCAUUCAAGUCGCGUUUUGGUACUGCAGUAGUUCUUCACAUCCAACAGGGGGUCAAUCCCACAGAGUGGGUCACUGAGCAAGCUCCUGAAACUCAGGAUGUACACUGGCCUUUCUUUUCUGCAUCAUUCAUAAGAAGAUGGAUCUAUAAGCUGGUUGCGGUUGUUGCCGUUAUUGCUCUUACAAUUAUGUUCCUUAUUCCAGUUGUGAUAGUGCAAGGUCUUGCUAACCUGAAUCAGUUGGAGAUCUGGUUUCCAUUUCUGAAAGGCAUUCUUAGUCUAACUGUUGUCAGUCAACUGAUUACAGGAUAUCUACCUAGUCUAAUUCUUCAGUUUUUUCUAUUUUUUGUGCCACCCAUGAUGAUAUUGUUUUCCUCCAUGCAAGGAUACGUUUCCCAUAGUCAAAUAGAAAAAAGUGCUUGUACCAAGGUGUUAUAUUUUACCAUAUGGAACAUUUUUUUUGCAAAUGUACUAUCAGGAUCAGCUUUCUAUCAGGUCAACGUUUUCCUUGAACCCAAAAAUAUUCCCAAGGUACUAGCUCAAGCUGUUCCAUCUCAGGUGAGAAUGCAUCUGCAUUAUCACAUGGAAAUAUUCUAGUCAUCAUGCUGCAGUUAUAGUAUGUGUGUGCAAGCACUCAUCUUCUAUUCCUUUGGACUGUGGUACCUCUUUCCAGUGACAGCCCAUGCAAAUACAUAUCCAUACUCUUGUUCAUGGAAAUCUAAUUCUUUUGUCCAAUGAUUAAGCUAAAGCUAUUUACUUUUGCAAAAUUGGAUAGGUCAUCCGUGAAAAGUUGGGGGUUGAAAUGAAUGUUGCCCUUAAAAUAACAGUUCACAAUGCUAGGCAAGCAAGAAGCAUGUGUAUAAGCUGUGCUUCAAAUCCUUCAAUAAGAUCAAUUGGAGGAAAAUAGGUAUAAAAUCAGAACUCAAAAAAGUGAAAGGGGGAAAGAGAGAAAGUGUACAAGAUACUUGAGACAGCUCUCAGAGAAGACUACAAAAUCAGAGGUUUGGAUAUGUUAGUUUCAUGAGAUGCAAAUAUGCUGCCGCUAUAGUAAGGCUAAAGCAUAUCUAGUUCCUAGCCAUGAGAUAAAUUAGAACAUUCUAUUGAUAUUAUUGGUAUCAAAAGUAGAUGCUUCAUACAGCAGACUACUUACCGCACAAUGGCGAAAGAGCCUUUCUCAGCACAUUACAAGUAGUAAAAAAUUUUUUGUUCUCUUCAAUGCCUGGCAAAUUACUCUAGGUGGCUGUUUGGUCUUAAAAUUUGGUAUAAACACAUUCUCACAUGCACUCUUCACUUAGCAUGCAAUUUGUACAUAUGGGUGCCAACUUUUUUAUGUUAAGGUUGUACAAAGACAUUGUUUAUCCUCAUGAUUAUCCAAUGAAUAACAUAGAAAUUGGAGAAAUUGAGGAUUCUUUGUUGUCAGUUACAGCUUACUGGUACUUCACUGAUCUGCAGUAAGCUAGAUACUUACUUUGACUUAAAUGUUAACUGUUAUUAAAAACCAUUUCUUGAUGUUGUGGAAAAAAUAAGAUAGGUUUUUCAUUCUGGGUGUAGGCGUCAUUCUUCAUUUCAUAUGUCGUGACAUCUGGAUGGACAAGUCUAUCGUCAGAGCUCUUUCGGUUGAUUCCUCUGCUUCGCAGUUUAAUAAGAAAACUAUGUUCCAGGAGGGAUGGUGAUGAAUUUGAGGUCCCAGCAAUUCCAUACUACAAUGAAAUUCCUACUAUCCUUUUCUUUGGACUUCUUGGUGUAACAUAUUUUUUCCUUUCUCCAUUAAUUCUGCCAUUUCUCCUGAUUUAUUUUUGCCUGGGAUACAUCAUCUUCCGCAACCAGGUAAGUUUUAAUUUUUUUUAUUUAUUUCUAUUUUGGUUAAUGCUUUUGUAUUAGGUGUAAUAAUAAAGUGCCCAGAAUUAAUAUAUGAACUGGAAAGAUAUUAGAAUUUUUCUUUAUGCUAGUUGGCUUGAAAAUGAAUUAUUCUGUGAGCUUUUAUUUGGAAAAAUGUGCUUUGUGUGAUGGAUAAAUUUGAAUUAAUUUCUGCAAGUUGAUGCAAAAAUUUCCAAGAUAAAAUAACGAGAAAAUGCAUAUUUAUAUGACUUAAUGUGCUGGUGAAGUAUUUCAACUAGAAUGAGAAGUUUCUAAAAAAGGGCUUUAACAUACAAGAAUCAGGGAAAAUGGCAAAUAACUUGAUUUUCUAAAUGGUCCAAUCUACCCUUUCCUCCUUUCCUAUACACUGACAAUGCUGGCCUCUCUCCCUUCAUAAAAUUGGAGACAGUUCACAAGUCAAAAAGAUAUACUUUAUGGAUGACAAAUUUUGCAUUUAGUAGAAUUUUGACUUUGACAGUAAUGGGAAAGUUUAACUGCAUUAAUGAUUCAUGGAAAGCUUUUGUUACAUUCUUUAUAUAAUUGGUCUUGGAGGGCUUUAAAUGUUACAGCAUCAGUCAUAGAUUUAUCAGCCUGAUAAUCAAAUACUCAAUUAAAUAGUGGAUAUAUACAAAUUAGGUGUUAUCAUAAUGUUUCCAAUAAUAUUAUCUAUUUUUGAUAAUAUCCUUUGAAUUUCUUUUUUUUUUUGCAGUUGUUGAACGUAUAUGCACCCAAGUAUGAAACUAGUGGAAAGUUUUGGCCUGUAGUACACAAUUCCACAAUAUUUUCCUUGAUACUGAUGCAUGUUAUUGCAAUUGGGAUAUUUGGACUUAAGAAGCUGCCUCUGGGUUCCAGUUUAACUAUUCCUCUUCCAGUUCUCACACUUCUUUUCAAUGAGUACUGCCGGAAAAGGUUCCUACCCACAUUUAAAAAUUAUCCUACUGAGUGUUUGAUAAAGAAAGAUAGGGAAGACCAGAAUGAUCCAUGUAUGGAUGAAUUCUAUGGUAAAUUGGUUACUGCUUAUCGUGACCCAGCUUUGAUGCCAGUCCA